GGCUCGGCCGGGCUCCGGGGCCGCGGAGGCCGCGACGAGGAGGACGAGGACGAGGAGGAGGAGGAAGACGACUUGCGCCAUGGUGCGUGACGUCAUUUAUGGACGGCCCCUUAUUCAAGUCACACAUGUUUGAGCAGCCCGUUACACGGAUUAAAGGUCUGCUUCCUUUAACGAAUAUUCACACGACCUUGUUCAUGCACUGAGUGUGGUGAAGGAGGCGAUUUGUAAAUGGCACGCGUGUUCAUCAUUCUGCCUGUGGAGUAGGAGGAAACCCGGCGACUUCUCAAAACAUUUCCAGAGAACUUGAGGUCACAGACAUCGGCGGUGCCGUUUAUUUCGCCAAUAAAAGGAAGUUGGUGUACGAGAUCACUUUUAUUUUUUUCAUUUCGAUCCCAGUGAGGGUUGAUAACGCGAGUUUUAGUGGCCAUGUCAAUACAAUCAGAAUGUGUGUUUAUACUGGAGGAAUCCGAUGAGCCAUGAAGCUCUUAUUCAUUUACAGAUGUCCAGUAAAAAAAAAUAUAUCACUUUGUCAUCAGACCACCCCACCCCUACGACUGCCCCUGCACUGUCCACGACGAACCUAACGAGGUAACCUACAAGCACCUCCGCAUCAUCAUCACACCAAAACACUAAACCAGCCUCACCGAUACUUUACUACAUAUUCGAUAUCUCAAAAAUACCGGGCGCAUUUUGUGGUGAUUUGGUCACAGUCUGCCGUGCAGAGGUCCUAGCAUCACCCAAGCCUGCGCAUUGGGAAGGCCAGAAGCUUUAAGACGUUUCUCUGUUCAUGUUUAAGACGUUUCUCUGUUCAUGUUUAAGACGUUUCUCUGUUCAUGUUGAAGACGUUUCUCUGUUCAUGUUUAAGACGUUUCUCUGUUCAUGUUUUUUGUUUGUUGCGGUUGCACCAGACUCAGGAGCCGCAUGGCUCACAGGGCUCUCUACCUAAUAAAUGAAACUUGAAAAUUU